CUGAGGACACCCCGCGCUCCCGCCCGGCCCCUCAGGGCCGCUCCGCCAUCCCCGCGCCUGCGCAGCGCCCGCCCGGCCCCAUCCGGGUCCCGGCGCGGCCAUGGCGACGGUGGCGGAGCUCAAAGCAGUUUUAAAGGACACGCUGGAAAAAAGAGGCGCUCUUGGAGAAAUCAAAGCGAGGAUCAGAGCUGAAGUGUUCAAUGCCCUGGACGACCAAAGCGAACCGCGGCCGCCGCUGUCCCAUGAGAACCUGCUGAUCAAUGAACUGAUCCGUGAAUACCUGGAAUAUAACAGAUACAAAUACACAGCAUCUGUUCUAACUGCAGAAUCCGGCCAGCCUGAAGUGCCCUUGGAUAGACAGUUUCUUGCCAAAGAGCUGAAUGUAGUCGAAGACGCAAGUGGAAGAUCAGUACCUCUCCUGUAUGGAAUUAUCUCUCAUUUCUUACAUGGUGGUAAAGAAGAAAGUACACACAAUACCUUUCCAAAAGGGUCUUGCUGAAUUAUCCAAAGCAGAACCUUACCAAACCACCUACUGAGAGAAAUCAAAAAGACGAAUUCCAGAACCAGGAAGGAUGGCUGGCACAAGCAUCGAAGAGCCCCUUGUUUUACAAAGUAUAAAGAGAUGACAUCUUUUAUUUCGCUAAUUUCUCAUGUAGAGUUCUGUAAGAGUUAAUUUAGGACAUUCUUCAUUGCAUAAAUUUCUCUAUCAAAUCCAGUGGGACCAUUUCAGCUGGUAACAUCUACCCAUGAGACAAGGACAACGAGGUCAUACUUAUUGUCAAUGAAAAAAUGUUAGCAAAGACUCUCCUCCUCCAGUGCUGGCAGAAGGAAAACUGUAUAGGAGGUCACAUCAAUGAAUCCUGUGUCUAGAAUUUGGCUUGAAAAUACUGGGUUUAUCCAACAGAUUUUUGUUAAGUAACUUACCAUUUCUGCACUUUCUUUACUAUGUUAUGUCUUUGUGUGUUUUUCCUGUGUUUCUUAAUAAAAUUUUCCAAUUUUA